AGCUUGGUGCAGUGGCGGUAUCAUAGCUAAUGAGGUUUAUCUAAGGUGUGAUUACUGUUAAUUAAAAACUCUUCCAAUAUGAUGUACAACAGGUGCCAUGACAAACACAUUCUUUAGUACAAAAAUCAAUAGAGUAAAUGUGUU
rnacentral:snRNA from 1 species